rnacentral:rRNA from 1 species
CUUCCGCAUGGAAGCAAUGGUAAAGAUUUAUCGCUUUGAGAUGGACCCGCGGCGCAUUAGCUAGUUGGUGAGGUAACGGCUCACCAAGGCCACGAUGCGUAGCCGACCUGAGAGGGUGAUCGGCCACAUUGGAACUGAGACACGGUCCAGACUCCUACGGGAGGCAGCAGUGGGGAAUAUUGCACAAUGGGCGCAAGCCUGAUGCAGCAACGCCGCGUGAGUGAUGAAGGCCUUCGGGUUGUAAAGCUCUGUCUUUGGGGACGAUAAUGACGGUACCCAAGGAGGAAGCCACGGCUAACUACGUGCCAGCAGCCGCGGUAAUACGUAGGUGGCAAGCGUUGUCCGGAUUUACUGGGCGUAAAGGGUGCGUAGGUGGAUAUUUAAGUCAGAUGUGAAAUCCCUGGGCUCAACCCAGGACCUGCAUUUGAAACUGGAUGUCUAGAGUGCGGGAGAGGUAAGUGGAAUUCCUAGUGUAGCGGUGAAAUGCGUAGAGAUUAGGAAGAACACCAGUGGCGAAGGCGACUUACUGGACCGUAACUGACACUGAGGCACGAAAGCGUGGGUAGCAAACAGGAUUAGAUACCCUGGUAGUCCACGCCGUAAACGAUGAGUACUAGGUGUAGGGGGUAUCGACUCCCCCUGUGCCGCAGUUAACACAAUAAGUACUCCGCCUGGGAAGUACGAUCGCAAGAUUAAAACUCAAAGGAAUUGACGGGGGCCCGCACAAGCAGCGGAGCAUGUGGUUUAAUUCGAAGCAACGCGAAGAACCUUACCUAGACUUGACAUCUCUUGAAGGGC